GAGCCUAAAUGUUCAUUGAACACAUAUCAUGCCAAACGAGACAGGCUGCUCGCUGCACUGGUCUGAUUCAGAGCUGCUCAGGUGUCUCUGUCACACAUGAACCCAGACAAGCUUCCUCAGUUGGGGUGAGCCGACAGGUCCCAAGAUCUUCAGUCUGACUCACCAUGCAGAUGCGAGGGCAUUGUCAAGAAACGCUCCGACUCUUCGUGCUAAGUACAUCUUAUCAUGCAGGGUGUCACUGUGUAUCACAAGCUAGCCUGGAACAUACCAGACAGCCCAAGCUGGCCAUGAACUCAUAAAAAUUCUUCUGCCUCAGUCUCCUCAUUUCUGUGAUCACAGGCAUACAGGACGAAUGGCCAUUGCUGAGAGGAUUCGUGGUCCCCCA